rnacentral:rRNA from 1 species
AGUCAGAGGCGAUGAAGGACGUGCUAAUCUGCGAUAAGCGUCGGUAAGGUGAUAUGAACCGUUAUAACCGGCGAUUUCCGAAUGGGGAAACCCAGUGUGUUUCGACACACUAUCAUUAACUGAAUCCAUAGGUUAAUGAGGCGAACCGGGGGAACUGAAACAUCUAAGUACCCCGAGGAAAAGAAAUCAACCGAGAUUCCCCCAGUAGCGGCGAGCGAACGGGGAGCAGCCCAGAGCCUGAAUCAGUGUGUGUGUUAGUGGAAGCGUCUGGAAAGGCGCGCGAUACAGGGUGACAGCCCCGUACACAAAAAUGCACAUGCUGUGAGCUCGAUGAGUAGGGCGGGACACGUGGUAUCCUGUCUGAAUAUGGGGGGACCAUCCUCCAAGGCUAAAUACUCCUGACUGACCGAUAGUGAACCAGUACCGUGAGGGAAAGGCGAAAAGAACCCCGGCGAGGGGAGUGAAAAAGAACCUGAAACCGUGUACGUACAAGCAGUGGGAGCACGCUUAGGCGUGUGACUGCGUACCUUUUGUAUAAUGGGUCAGCGACUUAUAUUCUGUAGCAAGGUUAACCGAAUAGGGGAGCCGAAGGGAAACCGAGUCUUAACUGGGCGUUAAGUUGCAGGGUAUAGACCCGAAACCCGGUGAUCUAGCCAUGGGCAGGUUGAAGGUUGGGUAACACUAACUGGAGGACCGAACCGACUAAUGUUGAAAAAUUAGCGGAUGACUUGUGGCUGGGGGUGAAAGGCCAAUCAAACCGGGAGAUAGCUGGUUCUCCCCGAAAGCUAUUUAGGUAGCGCCUCGUGAAUUCAUCUCCGGGGGUAGAGCACUGUUUCGGCAAGGGGGUCAUCCCGACUUACCAACCCGAUGCAAACUGCGAAUACCGGAGAAUGUUAUCACGGGAGACACACGGCGGGUGCUAACGUCCGUCGUGAAGAGGGAAACAACCCAGACCGCCAGCUAAGGUCCCAAAGUCAUGGUUAAGUGGGAAACGAUGUGGGAAGGCCCAGACAGCCAGGAUGUUGGCUUAGAAGCAGCCAUCAUUUAAAGAAAGCGUAAUAGCUCACUGGUCGAGUCGGCCUGCGCGGAAGAUGUAACGGGGCUAAACCAUGCACCGAAGCUGCGGCAGCGACGCUGAUGCGUUGUUGGGUAGGGGAGCGUUCUGUAAGCCUGCGAAGGUGUGCUGUGAGGCAUGCUGGAGGUAUCAGAAGUGCGAAUGCUGACAUAAGUAACGAUAAAGCGGGUGAAAAGCCCGCUCGCCGGAAGACCAAGGGUUCCUGUCCAACGUUAAUCGGGGCAGGGUGAGUCGACCCCUAAGGCGAGGCCGAAAGGCGUAGUCGAUGGGAAACAGGUUAAUAUUCCUGUACUUGGUGUUACUGCGAAGGGGGGACGGAGAAGGCUAUGUUGGCCGGGCGACGGUUGUCCCGGUUUAAGCGUGUAGGCUGGUUUUCCAGGCAAAUCCGGAAAAUCAAGGCUGAGGCGUGAUGACGAGGCACUACGGUGCUGAAGCAACAAAUGCCCUGCUUCCAGGAAAAGCCUCUAAGCAUCAGGUAACAUCAAAUCGUACCCCAAACCGACACAGGUGGUCAGGUAGAGAAUACCAAGGCGCUUGAGAGAACUCGGGUGAAGGAACUAGGCAAAAUGGUGCCGUAACUUCGGGAGAAGGCACGCUGAUAUGUAGGUGAAGUCCCUUGCGGAUGGAGCUGAAAUCAGUCGAAGAUACCAGCUGGCUGCAACUGUUUAUUAAAAACACAGCACUGUGCAAACACGAAAGUGGACGUAUACGGUGUGACGCCUGCCCGGUGCCGGAAGGUUAAUUGAUGGGGUNNNNNNNNNNNNNNNNNNNNNNNNNNNNNNNNNNNNNNNNNNNNNNNNNNGCGAAGCUCUUGAUCGAAGCCCCGGUAAACGGCGGCCGUAACUAUAACGGUCCUAAGGUAGCGAAAUUCCUUGUCGGGUAAGUUCCGACCUGCACGAAUGGCGUAAUGAUGGCCAGGCUGUCUCCACCCGAGACUCAGUGAAAUUGAACUCGCUGUGAAGAUGCAGUGUACCCGCGGCAAGACGGAAAGACCCCGUGAACCUUUACUAUAGCUUGACACUGAACAUUGAGCCUUGAUGUGUAGGAUAGGUGGGAGGCUUUGAAGUGUGGACGCCAGUCUGCAUGGAGCCGACCUUGAAAUACCACCCUUUAAUGUUUGAUGUUCUAACGUUGACCCGUAAUCCGGGUUGCGGACAGUGUCUGGUGGGUAGUUUGACUGGGGCGGUCUCCUCCUAAAGAGUAACGGAGGAGCACGAAGGUUGGCUAAUCCUGGUCGGACAUCAGGAGGUUAGUGCAAUGGCAUAAGCCAGCUUGACUGCGAGCGUGACGGCGCGAGCAGGUGCGAAAGCAGGUCAUAGUGAUCCGGUGGUUCUGAAUGGAAGGGCCAUCGCUCAACGGAUAAAAGGUACUCCGGGGAUAACAGGCUGAUACCGCCCAAGAGUUCAUAUCGACGGCGGUGUUUGGCACCUCGAUGUCGGCUCAUCACAUCCUGGGGCUGAAGUAGGUCCCAAGGGUAUGGCUGUUCGCCAUUUAAAGUGGUACGCGAGCUGGGUUUAGAACGUCGUGAGACAGUUCGGUCCCUAUCUGCCGUGGGCGCUGGAGAACUGAGGGGGGCUGCUCCUAGUACGAGAGGACCGGAGUGGACGCAUCACUGGUGUUCGGGUUGUCAUGCCAAUGGCACUGCCCGGUAGCUAAAUGCGGAAGAGAUAAGUGCUGAAAGCAUCUAAGCACGAAACUUGCCCCGAGAUGAGUUCUCCCUGACUCCUUGAGAGUCCUGAAGGAACGUUGAAGACGACGACGUUGAUAGGCCGGGUGUGUAAGCGCAGCGAUGCGUUGAGCUAACCGGUACUAAUGAACCGUGAGGCUUAA